GGGCGUAAGAGCUCGUAGGCGGCUUGUCACGUCGGGUGUGAAAGCCCGGGGCUUAACCCCGGGUCUGCAUUCGAUACGGGCUAGCUAGAGUGUGGUAGGGGAGAUCGGAAUUCCUGGUGUAGCGGUGAAAUGCGCAGAUAUCAGGAGGAACACCGGUGGCGAAGGCGGAUCUCUGGGCCAUUACUGACGCUGAGGAGCGAAAGCGUGGGGAGCGAACAGGAUUAGAUACCCUGGUAGUCCACGCCGUAAACGGUGGGAACUAGGUGUUGGCGACAUUCCU
rnacentral:rRNA from 1 species